rnacentral:lncRNA from 1 species
CAAAAUCAAAAUAGUGUUAAGGUGGUUGGUUUGUGGCUAAGUUGGCAUCUCACCAAUACAACACCAUGUUCAAAGAACAAGUAAGAUGACCCACAAAAAAAUGAUAUAGGGUCUGAGAUGAGUUGGUGUAGAUUGUUAGAAAUGACGAAUAAUAAGAAAUGAUCCGAAAAGUGAGAAAUUUGAAGCAAAAUAUGAGAAACAUGCAAAUACUGAGAGAGAAAAAGAGAGUUCUCACAAGGAUUUUACAUGUUUAAAUGUUCACUUGCCUCUAACUCCAAAACAUCAAAGUCGGGCAUGUACGAGGGUCAUGGUGAUCCUUUGACUUAUAUGAAAAAGUUUUGUAAUCAAUUAAGAGGAGUAAGGGGAAAGAUAAAUUGCUGAUGACUUACUUUGAAGAGAGUUUGAGAUGAUAAAUUUAAAAUGAUCGAGUUCAAAAAGAAAAAAAAGAUGAUGUAGCAAUGAUUGUGGAGACUCCAUUAAGGCCGAUGUGCAAUUAAAUGGCUAAAAUAUUAAGUUCGGUAAUUUAGAAGCCAAUCUGCUCCCCACGAGGAAGGAUUUUUGUAGUCUUUUUGUUUUCUUUCUACUACUCGAAUUAUUUUAGGGUUGGAAUUUGGGAUAUUUCUUAUCUUAUUUUAUUAUAAUUUUCAUCCAAAUCCUUCUAUAUUUUGG